GAUGAAGAACGCAGCGAAAUGCGAUAAGUAAUGUGAAUUGCAGAAUUCAGUGAAUCAUCGAAUCUUUGAACGCACAUUGCGCCCGCCAGUAUUCUGGCGGGCAUGCCUGUUCGAGCGUCAUUUCAACCAUCAAGCCCUGCUUGCGUUGGGGUCCUGCGGCUGCCCGCAGGCCCUGAAAACCAGUGGCGGGCUCGCUAGUCACACCGAGCGCAGUAAUACAUCUCGCUUUGGGCGUGCGGCGGGUUCUUGCCGUUAAACACCCCCUUUGUACCAAGGUUGACCUCGGAUCAGGUAGGAAUACCCGCUGAACUUAAGCAUAUCAAUAAGCGGAGGA
rnacentral:misc_RNA from 1 species